rnacentral:rRNA from 1 species
GAUGAUCCCGCGUUGUAUUAGCUAGUUGGUGAGGUAACGGCUCACCAAGGCGAUGACGGGUAGCCGGUCUGAGAGGAUGUCCGGCCACACUGGAACUGAGACACGGUCCAGACACCUACGGGUGGCAGCAGUCGAGAAUCAUUCACAAUGGGGGAAACCCUGAUGGUGCGACGCCGCGUGGGGGAAUGAAGGUCUUCGGAUUGUAAACCCCUGUCAUGUGGGAGCAAAUUAAAAAGAUAGUACCACAAGAGGAAGAGACGGCUAACUCUGUGCCAGCAGCCGCGGUAAUACAGAGGUCUCAAGCGUUGUUCGGAAUCACUGGGCGUAAAGCGUGCGUAGGCUGUUUCGUAAGUCGUGUGUGAAAGGCGCGGGCUCAACCCGCGGACGGCACAUGAUACUGCGAGACUAGAGUAAUGGAGGGGGAACCGGAAUUCUCGGUGUAGCAGUGAAAUGCGUAGAUAUCGAGAGGAACACUCGUGGCGAAGGCGGGUUCCUGGACAUUAACUGACGCUGAGGCACGAAGGCCAGGGGAGCGAAAGGGAUUAGAUACCCCUGUAGUCCUGGCAGUAAACGGUGCACGCUUGGUGUGCGGGGAAUCGACCCCCUGCGUGCCGGAGCUAACGCGUUAAGCGUGCCGCCUGGGGAGUACGGUCGCAAGAUUAAAACUCAAAGAAAUUGACGGGGACCCGCACAAGCGGUGGAGUAUGUGGCUUAAUUCGAUGCAACGCGAAGAACCUUACCUGGGCUUGACAUGUAAUGAACAACAUGUGAAAGCAUGCGACUCUUCGGAGGCGUUACACAGGUGCUGCAUGGCCGUCGUCAGCUCGCGUCGUGAGAUGUUUGGUUAAGUCCAGCAACGAGCGCAACCCCUGUUGCCAGUUACCAGCACGUGAAGGUGGGGACUCUGGCGAGACUGCCCAGAUCAACUGGGAGGAAGGUGGGGACGACGUCAGGUCAGUAUGGCCCUUAUGCCCAGGGCUGCACACGUACUACAAUGCCCAGUACAGAGGGGGCCGAAGCCGCGAGGCGGAGGAAAUCCUAAAAACUGGGCCCAGUUCGGACUGUAGGCUGCAACCCGCCUACACGAAGCCGGAAUCGCUAGUAAUGGCGCAUCAGCUACGGCGCCGUGAAUACGUUCCCGGGUCUUGCACACACCGCCCGUCA